rnacentral:tRNA from 1 species
CUUUUAAAGGAAACAAGUACUCC